rnacentral:rRNA from 1 species
AGGACGAACGCUUGCGACGUGCCUAAGAAAUGCAAGUCGAACGGGGUCAUCCUUCGGGGUGGCCUAGUGGCGAACGGUCGCGUAACACGUGGGCAACCUGCCCUGAAGCGGGGGACAACACACCGAAAGGUGUGCUAAUACCGCAUGUGAAUCGUGGUGGCAUCACCGAGGAUUCAAAGCCGCAAGGCACUUCAGGAUGGGCCCGCGGCCUAUCAGCUAGUUGGUGAGGUAACGGCCCACCAAGGCUUCGACGGGUAGCUGGUCUGAGAGGACGAUCAGCCGGAUUGGGACUGAGAUACGGCCCAGACUCCUACGGGGGGCAGCAAUUAGGAAUCUUGCGCAAUGGGCGAAAGCCUGACGCAGCGACGUCGCGUGAAGGAUGAAAUCUUUCGGGAUGUAAACUUCUUUUUCGGGAAGAACAAAUGACGGUACCCGAAGAAUAAGCCCGGCUAACUACGUGCCAGCAGCCGC